rnacentral:lncRNA from 1 species
GGGAAAGAAAUCUUGAGUAGGUGUCUCAGGUGAAGAACUUUGGAAAGAUACGAGGAACUUCUUAGAAAUGGGAGUAGGAGCACCAGAAGGAAGGUAGGAGGAAUGCCAAAGCAAAGCUUAACCGAUUUCAGAAUUUUGUCAAGUCUCUGGAUUGCUUGGUUUUUUUAUACUCUAGGACUGACACUUAGUAUAUGUUUAUUCAUGCACUGUAGAUACAGUAGGCUUUAUGGGGUAGGGG